rnacentral:rRNA from 1 species
UACGAAGGGGGCCAGCGUUGCUCGGAAUCACUGGGCGUAAAGGGUGCGUAGGCGGGUCUUUAAGUCAGGGGUGAAAUCCUGGAGCUCAACUCCAGAACUGCCUUUGAUACUGGCGAUCUUGAGUCCGGGAGAGGUGAGUGGAACUGCGAGUGUAGAGGUGAAAUUCGUAGAUAUUCGCAAGAACACCAGUGGCGAAGGCGGCUCACUGGCCCGGUACUGACGCUGAGGUGCGAAAGCGUGGGGAGCAAACAGG